GAUGAACGCUGGCGGCGUGCUUAACGCAUGCAAGUCGUACGUGAAGGGGUUUUCGGACUCCUGAAAGUGGCGAACGGGUGAGUAAUACGUAGAUGACCUGCCUUAAAGUGGGGGAUAACUACUGGAAACGGUGGCUAAUACCGCAUAGAGCUGUGACCGUUGGGAGGUUGCAGGGAAAGCUCCGGCGCUUAGAGAGGGGUCUACGUCCGAUUAGCUAGUUGGUGGGGUAAAGGCCUACCAAGGCGACGAUCGGUAGCUGGUCUGAGAGGACGAUCAGCCACACGGGAACUGAGACACGGUCCCGACUCCUACGGGGGGCAGCAGCGAGGAAUAUUGGGCAAUGGGCGAAGGCCUGACCCAGCAACGCCGCGUGAAGGAAGAAGGCCUUCGGGUUGUAAACUUCUUUUGUGGGGGAAGAGAGAGGACGGUACCCUGCGAAUAAGUCACGGCUAACUACGUGCCAGCCGCCGCAGUAA
rnacentral:rRNA from 1 species